AUUGAACGCUGGCGGCAGGCCUAACACAUGCAAGUCGAACGAGUGGCGGACGGGUGAGUAAUGUCUGGGAAACUGCCCGAUGGAGGGGGAUAACUACUGGAAACGGUAGCUAAUACCGCAUACCAUCGGAUGUGCCCAGAUGGGAUUAGCUAGUGGGUGGGGUAACGCCUCACCUAGGCGACGCUCCCUAGCUGGUCUGAGAGGAUGACCAGCCACACGGGAACGGAGACCCGGUCCAGACCCCUACGGGAGGCAGGAGUGGGUAAUAUUGCACAAUGGCGGCAAUCUUAAAGAGGCCAUGCCGCGUGUAUGAAGAAGGCCUUCGGGUUGUAAAGUACUUUCAUCGAGGAGGGGUUUCUCGCAGAAGAAGCACCGGCUAACUCCGUGCCAGCAGCCGCGGUAAUU
rnacentral:rRNA from 1 species